GUAAAGGUAAGAAAGCUUACUGCCAGUUGUUAUUUUUAUAGAUUUGUAAAUUAUAUUUCCACAUUCUGGCAAUAAUUCUACUCGAGGGAGUAUUACACAUUAGCAUCAAUAUGAUUGAAUAUUGAUAUUUAUUCCAUAUUUCAUUUGGCUAUAUUUAAGGAAAUACUUCUUUAAUAUAAUUUUAUAUCUGUAUUAUUUCCAUGAAAAUAACUUACAUACAAUUCCUCGAAUUCAUACAUGAAAACAAACAAACAAAAAUAAUUGUUCUCCGAGAUUUUGUAUCUACUCCUCUGAAACUACGAAGAUGCCACAAGUUUCAAACAUUAAACUGUAAAAGAGUAAAUCACAAAAUUCUUACAUGAUAAACACGUAUAACUAUAUGAUUAUAUACCUGUACAUUGUUCUUAACAAUAGGAUGUGUUGGACUAGACUGUCUAAAUGGAGGGUCUGUUGCAGCGGAAGAUGGAAUCUGCCAUUGUAUUUGUCUUUCUGAAUUCUCAGGCUUAAAAUGUGAAUACGAACUGAGAGAAAGUAUGUGGCCGCGUGGCCCAUACUAUCUGCCUAUGCCAAAAGGAGGAUGUCCAGAAACUAAAGCUCAAGGGUGGAAAAUAGGAUACCUCAACUUCACAACGGAACGGCCUUUUACAGCUGAAACAUUCUACAAUAACGUCUCAGACACAAUGACUUCAUUGUUCAAUAUAACAUUUGAAGAAACAAAUAUACUAGGACCAUUUGGACUCUAUAAUUUGCAGAUGAACUUCUGUUUUAAGAGCGGAGAUCAUGCGCUGACAAAAACGAACGAAUGGCCGAACUGGGAGAUUGAAAUAUUUUCCUCAAACGAAGGAUGUCCAUUAGGUAAAUACGCAAACUAGAGUUUAUUUAGUUUAAUGGGAAAUUGGUAGAAAGGCAUCCUUUGAUGAAAACGUUUUGUAUUUUUUCAUUACGUUAUGCUUAAGUUGCAAACUCCCUAAGCUCCAUUACUUGCUGGUGUUAGGACCUUCGCUAGAAACCGACUUCAUUUGCAACAUCGCCCAGGCCUUCAUACUGUAUUUGAACUAGUCACUAUGUAAAAAUACUUUGUCUCCCACAUAUAAUAUCAGCUUUUUCGCUGAUUCUAUUUUUGUAUUUGUUCCUAUAGCUUACAAAUAUUUUUUGUAUCAGCGCAUAUUUGAGCAAGUAUUAUCCUUAAAGUAUGAAUAAAAGCAGGGUAGUAGUU